CUGAUAAACUUCCACCAUGGCCAACUGGUUAUUUUGUGUGUAGGGUUGGGCAUCUAUUGAUCCGAAGCUUGAUAUGAUAUGCACGGAAGAGAGGGAAAAUUAUAAAGGACGUCGUUUCAUCUUCUGUGAAAGUUGAACAAUGUUAAUGAUUUUCCGGUUCACCUUUAAAAUGAAUCUGUCUUAAUGACAAUAUUUUGGGCCAAAAAGAACAAUGCAUGUUUUGGGUCAGCUGUCAGCUCAGCCCACAUUUAUUUGUAAUCAAUUCAGAGUCCAAAAAUUUCAGCGCAACGUAAAAACUCAGUCAUUGUUGCGGCAGUAGGUAUACAGGAGAAUGAACAGAAAAUUUGGAGGAUCGCAGCCCACGGGGACUCCAUCACUGGCUUGGUCCUGUGUUGUGGUUAUCGUCUCUCUUCUUGCAGGUGCUUCCGUUGUACACAACAUCUACAAGCCAGAUCUCACACUGCCACCGCUGGAAAAAGAUGACAAAAAAGAAGCUGAGAAACCAUGAAAAUUUCUGUAGCUCACAUUUUCCUCAAAUUUAUUAGUUGAAUGUCAGAAUGUUUAUCUGGGUUCUUCUUUUGUCUCUUGGUAUUGAUUAGUUGAAUAUUUGAUAAAUAAAUUUUUUAGAAAUUCAAAGGGGCACUGAUGUUAUACCUGAGUUUGAUGAAGAAAGGCAACAAGAAACCUGUAACCAGAAACAUUCUGUUGGCUUUUGUAGCUUAGAUAACUUUGAAUUGCCUGCAAGCAAGCAAGGCCUGUUGAGAUUGAAA